AGGCUGCAGUGAGCAACCUCCACUGCACCCUGGGCAACAAGAGUGAGACCCUGUCUCAAAAAACAAGCAAACAAACAAAGCAGAAGACAAAAAACCUUCCUUAAAUUAAGGUAUGCUUCAGUCUACCAAAUAAAAUGGCACAAUGUCAUAAAAAAGAAUGAAAUCAUGUCUUUUGCAGCAACAUGGAUGGAACUGAUGGGCAUUAUCCUGACUGAAAUAACUUAGAAACAGAAAGUCAAAUACUGCGUGUUCCCACGUAUAAGUGGAGGCUAAACCAUGUGUACACAAGGACACGCAGAGUGGAGGAAUAGAUAUUGAGACACAAAAAGUAGAAGGGUGGGGAGGUGGAGGUUGAAGAAUUACCUGUUGGGUACGAGGUUCACUAUUGGGUGACAGGUGCACUAAGAACCCCGACUUCCCCACUACACGACACAUGCUUUUCAGAAACCUGCACUUGUACCCACUAAAUAGAUUUUUUUUAGUUUAAAUAAAAUUAAAAAUAAAUUAAAAGUCACAAUGUGAUUCAAGAACUGAUUCAGGAUGUGCCACAUUUGGGAAUAUAUUUCAAAGACUGAGAAAUAAUUCUGUGGGCAAAAAUCGGCAAAUCAAGGCAUCUAUAAAUGAGAACAAUCAAGCCACCCACAGAUUUCUACUUAACGUCAUUUGAUAGAAAUGUUUUUGUUUGUUUUUUGAGACAGAGUCUCACUCUGUUGCCCAGGCUGGAGUACAAUGGCAUGAUCUCGGUUCACUGCAACCUCCACCUCCCUGGCUCAAGCAAUUCUCCUGCCUCAGCCUCCCAAGUAGCUAAGACUACAGGUGUGCACAACCAUGCCUGGCUAUUUUCUGUAUUUUUAGUAGAGACAGAGUUUCCCCAUGGUGGCCAGGCUGGUUUUGAACUCCUGGGCUCAAGUGAUCCACCUGCCUGGAUCUCCCAAAGCACUGUUAUUACAGGUGUGAGCCACUGCACCAGGCCUGCUUGAAAUCUUAAAGCAAAGUUUGACUUAAACAUGCAGUCAACAUUCAUUCAAGCCAAAGCUCAUGAUAAAGCUAUUUUUAAAACAGAUAAGAACUUUUAAAAUACCAUUCUCAUGACUACUUUUUGGAAAAGAAAAAUAAAAAAACAACCCCGUUAGAGUAUAAGCUUAAGCCAAUUAUGUAAUCAAAGGAGAAGAUAUUGAAAAAUGAUGUUGGUGGGCACUGAUUUUUUUUUCACAUUUUACAAUUAACUUUUAUCAAACUAAUGGAUGCACAUGCUUUUUAAAAACCGCUAAGCACUCAGCCUUUCUGUGGGCAAUAUGCUAGUUAAACUCCAUUUUCCACUAUCCCUACUUGGGGUGCUUAUGUGUCUAAUUAAACUGCUCAUAUCCAAGCCUUCUUUGCAGACAGGAGUGGCCAUCUGUCAUAAAGCUGGCCAGAGAGAUACUGGCAGAAGCCAUUGAGUCACUUUUUUAAGGAACCUCUGACAGAGUUCCACUUCCAGAAAGGCAGUGUGAGGAGCUCAGUGUACCCAUUCCAAGAAAAAAAAAAUCCUAACUCAUGAUAAUUGUAAAAAUAACAACCAUUUAAUUUACCUGAAAAUUGUCGAAACGGCAGGCAACAAAUGAAGAAAUCAUUAUUGCGUAAAAUCUACGAAAUUCCUCUGUAAGAACUGUGAGAGUCUUACCCUUGAACCUGACCCCGCCCACUCUUCUCAGCAUGACGGAAGCUCCACUCUGGAACCUGGGGGUACAAAAGGCAUCGUGAACCUAUGAGGACAAAAGCCACACACUAUCAACGACUGCGCAAGAACAGCGAGAGUCUGGAACUGCGGUGACCUCAUGAGCUGAUGCCCUUUCUCUCGACAGCGAACAACAAUAGCCUUGCAUAAGUCACUGUACUGUGUGCUUUUUUGUCAUAUGCAGCCAACUGAAAAUCCUAAACAAACACCUGCCCCCUCCACCCCAUCCCACGCUCAGAAGCACCUGCUUUUAGCACAUUCAGCAGCAGUGGGAGGGGUUGCUGCUUAUCCCUUUACACUUAAAUUGGCUUAUACUGCUAUUUCUUGAUUUUUCCAUUUUAGACAUCAUUUACUAACUGAUAAGACCAUUGCAGAUGCAGUUAUUUUACACCUACCCUUCAACUCCCUUCCACCCAUUUCCCCAACAUAAUUACGAUUUUACAUUAAACCAUUCAAUGUUUACAAAUUUAUCACGUUAAUGUUCCUCAGUGCAAAGCCAAGUAUUGAACUAAGAUUUUUUCUCCCACUGUCUUAUUUUUUCAUGAGUUAAUAAAUCCUUCUUUUUCAUAAUUGCCUGCAUUUUCUUGUUAUGUCUGGAUACACCAUGACACAGUCUAUCAAGCCAUCAAUUCUAUGAGGGUCUCCCUCCAGACCACCCUCGGGGCACUCAAUCCCCCCACACAUUCUGCACUGGUUCCUCUAGAGGUCACUCUUCUGAAGCUUCUCCUUGCCCCUCGCCUUAGUUGGAGCCAAGAUUUCCUGGACUCUGUACCUUUGUCUUUCUUCAUUUGCUCUCUUGUCUUGCUGAAGCACAUCUCCCACGAGCUUCCUGAAAAAGGCAUCAUCAGGCAAAUGUUCUGAGCCCUUCAGGCUGGCCAGUGUUGAUGCUUUGUUCUCACACUUGAUAAUAGUUUAUCUAGGUUGAAAAAUUUAGGUUGACAAUACUUUUUUCUUUUUUUUUUUUUUUUUUUUUUUUUGUAGAGAUGAGGUCUCCCUAUAUUGCCCAGGCUGGUCUCAAAUGCCUGGGCUCAAGAGAUCCUCCUGCCUCGGCCUCCCAAAGUGCUGGGAUUACAGGAGUGAGCCACCAUGCCUGACAACAAUACUUUUUUCUUAAAAUUUUGAAAGCGUUGCUCCUUUUUCUUCUGGCACCUAAUGUCGCUUUUGAGAAACACAAUGCCAUUCCUAUUCUUGUUGUUUUUGGUGAUGUUUUUUCUUUGUUAGUUUUCUUCUCUUCUCUGGAUGCUUACACGGUCAUUUCUUCCUUGGUUCUAGAAUUUCAGAGCCACGUGUUUCUUUUAUGUACUGACACUUAAGGAGGCAUUUCAAUCUGAGAUCAGAUAUCACCAGUUCUAAGAAAGUCUUCCCCAUGAUUUCUUUGAUAAUUUCCUCUCCUCUGUUUUCUCCUCCCUCUCUUCCUUUAAAUCCUAAUAAUUGACUUUUAAAAAUCUCCCUGCCUUGGCCGGAGACACCUGUAAUCCCAGCACUUUGGGAGGCCGAGGCGGGCGGAUCACGAGGUCAGGAGAUCGAGACCAUCCUGGCCAACACGGUGAAACCCUGUCUCUACUAAAACUACAAAAAAAUUAGCUGGGUGUGGUGGCGGGCGCCUGUAGUCCCAGCUACUCAGGAGGCUGAGGCAGGAGAAUGGCAUGAACCUGGGAGGUGGAGGUUGCAGUGAGCCGAGAUCGCGCCACUGCACUCCAGCCUGGGCGACAGAGCAAGACUGCGUCUCAAAAAAAUAAUAAUAAAAUAAAAUAAAAAAUCUCCCUGCCUUGAUCCACCCAGGCUCUUUUGUCUGUUCAUCAUUUGGAUCUAUCUUCUGACAGAUUCUAUUUACUUUAAUUUCCAGCUCUACUAUUUUCUUAUUAAUUUUGGUUCAUAAUUUCAACUUCCAAGAGUUCUAGUUUUCAGACUACUCUUACUUUAUAGAAUCCUGCUGUUGCUUAUCUAUCUCUUUAAGUAUACUGUUAGCUUUUUUCUUUUGGUUUCAUUUGUCCAUUGCAUUAUGUUUUCUCACCUUUAUUUUCUCGUCUCUUGCACAUUUUCCUUAAAUAUCUCUAGAUCCUUACCUGUUAAUUUAACAGUGAGGCACUAAAAUAACGGAUUAAAGCUCUGAGAACAUAGAUGAAGCUUACAACCUGAAGUGGGGAGCUUCUCUUUCAGAGCUGGGCAUGAAACUAUCCAUUUUAUUGGGGAUGCUCCAAAUGUCAGGAUAAGGAGGUAUUUUCUCUGGAUACACCCAGGUUCUCUGGAGAGGAAGCUAUUAACCUUCUUUAGCAAUUGGCCUCUGUCUGCUGAUGUCCUAUGGUCAGGCAGGUCGACUUUUAUUUUUUUUUUUUUGAGUCUCGCUGUUACCCAGGUUGGAGUGCAGUGGUGCAAUCACAGCUCACUGGAGCCUUGACCUCCCAGAUUAGGUGAUCUUCCCACCUCAGCCUCCAGAGUAGCUGGGACUACAAGCAUGCGCCACCACACCCGGCUAAAUUUUUGUGUGUUUUUUUUUGUUUGCUUGUUUGUUUCUUUGUUUGUUUUGUAGAGACGGUUUCGCCAUGUUGCCCAAUCUGGUCUUAAACUCCUCGAAUCAAGAGAUUCAUCCAUUUUGGCACCCCAAAGUGCUAGGCUUACAGGUGUGAGCCACCAGGCAAAGCCAGGCAGGUUGAAUUUUAAUCCCUUUUGUACCUACGCUGGCUUCUUAAUUUCAUCUCCCUCUGCACACACUACAGGUAGUAUCUUAAUCUCAUCUCCCUCUGCACACUCUAUAGGUAAUAUCUUAAUCUCAUCUCCCUCUGUUCAUACUACAGGUAAUAUCUUAAUCUCAUCUCCCUCUGCUCACACUAUAGGUAGUAUCUUAAUCUCAUCUCCCUCUGCACAUACUACAGGUAGUAUCUUAAUCUCAUCUCCCUCUGCACAUACUACAGGUAGUAUCUUAAUCUCAUCUCCCUCUGCACACCCUACAGGUAGUAUCUUAAUCUCAUCUCCCUCUGCUCAUACUACAGGUAGUAUCUUAAUCUCAUCUCCCUCUGCACACACUAUAGGUAGUAUCUUAAUCUCAUCUCCCUCUGCUCAUACUACAGAUAGUAUCUUAAUCUCAUCUCCCUCUGCUCAUACAACAGGUAGUAUCUUAAUCUCAUCUCCCUCUGCACACACUAUAGGUAGAGUAAUUUCUUCCACUCCAUAAAAUUUGUUGUCAUAUAGAGUGAAAAAUUUAGUACCUACGGUGGACCCUUGAACAACAUGGAUUUGAACUGUGCAGGUGCACUUAUAUGUGGAUUUUCUUCUGCCUCUGCCAUUCCUGAGAUAGCAAGACCAACCUCUCCUCCUCUUGCUCAGCUUACUCAGUGUGAAGAUGAUGAGAAUAAAGACCUUUAUGAUGAUCAACCUACUUCCAUUUAAUGAAUAAUAAAUGUAUUUUAUCUUCCUUAUGAUUUUCUUAAUAACAUUUUCUAGUCUCUAGCUUACUUUAUUGUAAGAAUAUAGUAUAUAAUAUGUAUGACAUUGAAAAUAUGUGUUAAUCAGCUGCUUGUGUUAUUGGUAAGUCUUCCUGUCAACCAUAAGGUAUUAGUAAAGUUUUGGGGGAGUUGGAAUUUACAUGUAGCUUUUCCCCUCUGUGUGUGUGUUUGGGGCUGUCGAUGCCCUUAACCUCUACACUGUUAAGAAUAAACUGUGUACUGUUGGUGGGAGUAAGCAAUGGAAGAUUAUAUUCAUAAUAUCGGAUUGGUAAAUGCCUGUUAAAUUAAGAUAUGAAAUGCAGAAUCCAUAAGAUACUGGUACCUACGUAAAAUUAGGCAUUUUUCAAGGCAAUAAAAAGUCCAAUUGGAAGUAUGUUAUUAGCAGCAACAGGCCAGUAUUAUAUAUAUCUAAAAGGUUUGUACAGAUCAGUUCAAUGGCCAGUUACAUAUGUCUAAAAGGAUUUGUACAGGUCAACUCAAUAAAGAUUAAUAUUCUGUUAGAAAGCAAAAUGGGCAAAUGACUAAAACACGCAGUUCGCCGACUGUGGUGGCUUAUGCCUGGAAUUCCAGCUCUUAGGGAGGUAGAGGCAGACAAAUAGCUUAAGCCCAGGAAUUCGAGACCUACCUGGGCAAUAUAGUGAGACCCCUUUCUCCACAAAAAAGAAAAAAAAAGUGUAAACCUGCAGUUCACAGAAAAGAAAAAUACACAAAGGACUUAUAAAAUGUCUUUAAAAUAUGCUUGAUAUACUGAUAAUUAAAUACAUAGAAAUUAAAACAAGAAAUCAGCCAGGCAUGGUGGGGACUGCCUGUCAUCUCAGCUACUCAGGAGGUUAAAGCAGGAGGAUCACUUGAACCCAGCAGUUCAAGGCCAGCCCAGGCAACACAGCGAGGCCCCAUCUCCAAAAAAUAAUAAUCAUCUAUUAGCAUUUCAAAAAAUAAAGAUUAAGAGAUUUGGGGCCAGACGCAGUGGUUCACGCCUGCAAUCCCAGCACUUUGGGAGGCCGAGGCGGG
rnacentral:lncRNA from 10 species